ACACCGAAAGGGCCUCGCCUCGCGCGUCC
rnacentral:sRNA from 1 species